GACGAACGCUGGCGGCGUGCUUAACACAUGCAAGUCGAGCGGUAAGGCCUUUCGGGGUACACGAGCGGCGAACGGGUGAGUAACACGUGGGUGAUCUGCCCUGCACUUCGGGAUAAGCCUGGGAAACUGGGUCUAAUACCGGAUAUGACCUCCUAUCGCAUGGUGGGUGGUGGAAAGAUUUAUCGGUGCAGGAUGGGGCCGCGGCCUAUCAGCUUGUUGGUGUGGUAGUGGCCUACAAAGUCGACGACGGGUAGCCGACCUGCGAGGGUGACCGGCCACACUGGGACUAAGACACGGCCCAGACUCCUACGGGAGGCAGGAGUGGGGAAUAUGGCACAAUGGGCGAAAGCCUGAUGCAGCGACGCCGCGUGAGGGAUGACGGCCUUCGGGUUGUAAACCUCUUUCAGCAGGGACGAAGCGCAAGUGACGGUACCUGCAGAAGAAGCACCGGCUAACUACGUG
rnacentral:rRNA from 1 species